GAUGAACGCUGGCUGUGUGCCUAAUACAUGCAUGUUGAACGGGAUGUAGCAAUACAUUCAGUAGCGAAUGGGUGAGUAACACGUACCUAACCUACCUUUAAGACUGGGAUAACUAUUGGAAACAAUAGCUAAUACCGGAUAUAGUUAUUUAUCGCAUGAUGAGUAAUAGAAAGGAGCUUCACAGCUUCACUUAAAAAUGGGGGUGCGGAACAUUAGUUAGUUGGUAGGGUAAUGGCCUACCAAGACGAUGAUGUUUAGCCGGGCCGAGAGGCUGUACGGCCACACUGGGACUGAGAUACGGCCCAGACUCCUACGGGAGGCAGCAGUAAGGAAUUUUCCACAAUGAGCGAAAGCUUGAUGGAGCGACACAGCGUGCAGGAUGAAGUUCUUCGGAAUGUAAACUGCUGUUAUAAGGGAAGAAGAAAUAGAAUAGGAAAUGAUUUUAUCUUGACGGUACCUUAUUAGAAAGCGACGGCAAACUAUGUGCCAGCAGCUGCGGUAAUACAUAGGUCGCAAGCGUUAUCCGGAAUUAUUGGGCGUAAAGCGUCCGUAGGUAUUUUGCUAAGUCUGGAGUUAAAUGCUGAAGCUCAACUUCAGUCCGCUUUGGAUACUGGCAAAAUAGAAUUAUAAAGAGGUUAGCGGAAUUCCUAGUGAAGCGGUGGAAUGCGUAGAUAUUAGGAAGAACACCAACAGGCGAAGGCAGCUAACUGGUUAUAUAUUGACACUAAGGGACGAAAGCGUGGGGAGCAAACAGG
rnacentral:rRNA from 1 species